UCCUGACUGACCGAUAGUGAACCAGUACCGUGAGGGAAAGGCGAAAAGAACCCCGGCGAGGGGAGUGAAAAAGAACCUGAAACCGUGUACGUACAAGCAGUGGGAGCACGCUUAGGCGUGUGACUGCGUACCUUUUGUAUAAUGGGUCAGCGACUUAUAUUCUGUAGCAAGGUUAACCGAAUAGGGGAGCCGAAGGGAAACCGAGUCUUAACUGGGCGUUAAGUUGCAGGGUAUAGACCCGAAACCCGGUGAUCUAGCCAUGGGCAGGUUGAAGGUUGGGUAACACUAACUGGAGGACCGAACCGACUAAUGUUGAAAAAUUAGCGGAUGACUUGUGGCUGGGGGUGAAAGGCCAAUCAAACCGGGAGAUAGCUGGUUCUCCCCGAAAGCUAUUUAGGUAGCGCCUCGUGAAUUCAUCUCCGGGGGUAGAGCACUGUUUCGGCAAGGGGGUCAUCCCGACUUACCAACCCGAUGCAAACUGCGAAUACCGGAGAAUGUUAUCACGGGAGACACACGGCGGGUGCUAACGUCCGUCGUGAAGAGGGAAACAACCCAGACCGCCAGCUAAGGUCCCAAAGUCAUGGUUAAGUGGGAAACGAUGUGGGAAGGCCCAGACAGCCAGGAUGUUGGCUUAGAAGCAGCCAUCAUUUAAAGAAAGCGUAAUAGCUCACUGGUCGAGUCGGCCUGCGCGGAAGAUGUAACGGGGCUAAACCAUGCACCGAAGCUGCGGCAGCGAUGCUUAUGCGUUGUUGGGUAGGGGAGCGUUCUGUAAGCCUGCGAAGGUGUGCUGUGAGGCAUGCUGGAGGUAUCAGAAGUGCGAAUGC
rnacentral:rRNA from 1 species